GGGGAUUUAGCUCAGCGGCAGAAGCACCUGCCUGGCAAGUGCCAGGUCAUGAGUUCGAUCCUCAUACCCCCCC
rnacentral:tRNA from 1 species